CCGCGCAAAGGUAGCGUAAUCACUUGUCUUCUAAAUAAAGACUAGUAUGAACGGCCACACGAAGACUUGACUGUCUCCCUAGUCCAAUCAGUGAAACUAAUCUCCUCGUGCAGAAGCGAGAAUACACCCAUUAGACGAGAAGACCCUAUGGAGCUUUAAACUCAAUAUUAAUUAUAUUUAACUCUUCUCUAAGGAACUAACAACUUUUUAAACUUAAUAUUAGUUUUAGGUUGGGGCGACCAUGGAGAAAAAAAUAUCCUCCCUGAUGAUUUUCUAACCAAGAGCUACAGCUCUAAGUAUUAAGACCCUUAACUCCCAUUGACCCAUUUUAUGAUCAACGAACCAAGUUACCCUAGGGAUAACAGCGCAAUCCAUUUCAAGAGUUCCUAUCGACAAAUGGGUU
rnacentral:rRNA from 1 species